CAGUGUUACAGCUCUUUUAGAAUUUGUCCAGCAGGCUUUCCAAUUUUUGCUGGAAAGCCCCU
rnacentral:snRNA from 13 species